rnacentral:lncRNA from 1 species
GAGACGAGCUCCCGAAUUCCAUGAUCUCUUUCUCAUAUCGUUCGGACACGUCUUCAUCGGCAACUUUGGCUGUUAUUACAAAUGCUGAAUUGCUGUAUCCGAGGUAGUGUACAAUAGUGUCGAUGAAGGCAAAUAGGUAUGAGGAUGUUCUCUGGUAAAGCCAUAUACGUUGGUCGUUCCACCAACCUAAGCUCGUGCCUCCACACCACCGAUACUCCACGAAGCUCCCAAUGUUCUUAGCAAUUAUCACAUAUGCAAAUGGUAUGAUCCAUCUGCUGGAAAUCUAAUCCGACAAGAAAAAAAAUCCAUAUUAAAGCCGUACGUUAAAGAUAACGCAUGCAUGAAAAGUUACUAGUAACAUGUAAUUUUGUGAGAUGAACUAUACCUGGGGAAAUAAGGACGUGCCUCUAAGAAGGUAAAGUGAAGGAAGGGUGGCGUAUAUUACUGUUGCCCAGCAAUUAGCAGCCCAUAAAUUGUAGCGAAGGUAUCCCAGUUUAUGGCCUAAACUAAGCUUUCUAUGGCCACACCAUACAACAUUGUCCUUAGAAAGCGUAAUCUGAAGGUUGCCUUCCCCCCAUCUCUUAUGCAUCACAAGUGCCUGAAGCAAGGUGGUAGGAGCUAAUCCUAAGAAAGCUUUCCUUGUUGGAUUGUAAUUCACUGAUUUCCAUCCUCGGCAUUGGAUUGAUAGUCCUGUUAUCACAUCCUCAACUGUACACCCAUAUUUCAAACCCAUCUGCAGAUUAUAAAGAUUUUGUCUCAACUUAAAACGAGUAUAUAUUCCUAAAUACACAUUAAAUUUUAAAUGGGAAUUUUCUUGGAAUAUAAAAACAUACAUGAGUUAUAAGUGAAAAUGAACACACACACACACACAGAUAUAUAUAGUAUAUAUAUAUAUAUAUAUAUAUAUAUAUAUAUAUAUAUGAGAAUACCUCUUUUCCCCAUUGUGUGUUCUCCUCAAAUGUACAACUCGCAAGUCUCUUUGAACUUUGUUCUAAUUCAUGAAUGCCAAAGUACUCUCUUUUGUUACCAUCCCAUUUCAUCUCACUCUUAUUCACCUUGCUGAAUUUCUUCCCAGAAAGAGUGUCUCUUCUGUGAAAACAUCCAGUUCCAAUAUAUAACAUCCCCCAAUAAGCAUCCAGACCAUGAAGUUCCACCUUCAUGUAAAUGCCAAAACACAUAUAAUCGCAAAAUUUUGAUUCUAAUAUUUCCAUCAGCCUAUAAUAACAUUGUCUACUCUGUGGUACUCACCUCGGUAAUUACUCGCAAUGAAGCGUAUAAUUCAUUCUUAGUAAGGUUAUCGAAAUUCUGGGGGAACUGUACGUAAGCAAUCUCAUGGCCUUGUUCUUCAUCCAACAAGAAGCAGAGUGCAUCCCUUAUGGCCUUGGAGUUGUUUGAAUACAUGUCACAGUCUACAUUCAGAAUCAACUUUCCAUUGCUAAUAUUUGACGAUACCCUAAUCUGCAAAUUGCGAAGGAUCGCAUCUGUACGUUAUCUAAACCCUAUAGGCACACAGUGAAACUCACACAUAUCUUGUAAAUGUAAUAUGUUGUUUACCAGAGCAUUCAUAGCACCAGCUUUGAAGUUAUGGUGAAUCUGGGGUCUCUUCUCCCGAGCCAAAUACACCAAAGUUGGCAACACACACCCUUCAACAUCUCUUGCAUUUGGGUCUCUCCCGUCAAUUACUAUCUGGGAGAAAAGUUCAUCGACUAAUUUAAACAUCUGGUACUAAUUAAACACCCAGUCAUAUAUAUGAUCACUUAACAUUAAAGAACUCAAAUGGAAAUGUCAUACUUGAAGAAUGGUGUCAUGGUCACGUUUUGAUGAAUAUGAAUCCCACUGAGAAAAGCCUUUAUGUUUUGAUCUUACUUCUUCCGGAAUCCGGCCUAGCUUCACUGCAUUUUCAACUUUUGUUGCCAUGUCCUCGUAUAGUUUCUGCAUCAAUAUUAUUUGGUGACAUGAGAGCUUAAGUAUGUUGUAAGCAUUGUAAGACCAAAAGAAGAAGAAGAACAAAAGUAGUUACAAAUGCAACACAAAAUAAAACAAGAUAUAAUGGAGUAAGAAAUGUUAAUUUCGUGUUCAUUUGGUUGUUACGAAUCCAAUUUUGCCAUGAUGUACACCCAAAAUUUUCCCACCGGCCGGUAAUUUAUAACAGAGGCUUACUGUUUCCAUUUCACUCCGAUCACUAACAGACCCUAUUGGUCAGUCCCUAAUGGCGAAUGGGGAAGAUUGUAGUACCUUUUAAAGGUAGGUCUUUAGGUGGAUAUGCUGGUGGGUUAAAGUUUGGAUCAAGGUGUAUAGUCUAGGCUAGCCAGACGUUUUUGUUACGAGUCAUUGUUCAAUGUGUAGUCGGCGACCGUGCGCACUAAAAAUUGUAACAGGUGAUCUUCAAAUCUCUUGUUUUGACUGAAUGAGGUCGUAUACGAUAUCUUCGACCAAUGGAGUUCAUCCACUCUCAUAAGAAAAAAAAAAAAAAAAAAAAAACAAAAGAUGACAGGCUUGACAACUUCGAGGAUAAUUACUAAGCAACUUCCGGCUACUAAACGACUAGCAUGCAAUAGAUCUAACAUUAAGACAUGUCUAGUGAACAAAAAAUCCAUUCUUACCUACGAUCGAAUAUAUAAAAUUAACAGAAGAGGUUAAGACAUGCCUCACUUGAUCGAUGACCAUAUAUUUCUUUCAAAAUUUCUUAAUCAAUGGUGAACAAAUUAAGAAAAUAUCAACAUCAAGACAUCGCUACUCUUAUGUCCAAGUCUCCAAGACACUUUAAUUGACUCCAUCCAUCAUCAUAUGGAUCCAGAUGAUUCUACUUGGAGCAGUUUACUUGUCGUCUAAAUUGGACAACCUAUGCCAUUUAUGCUCUCCACAAAAAAUCUCUGCUGCGCGCAGGGACCUAAUGGAAAUGUGUAUGUCAUCGCUGACCUAAUUAUCACUUUAAUCUUAACCAUGCAUAAUUGCUGAUUAGAGUUGUUGUUUCUUCGACGUGUAAAUAUACGAUAUCAUAUAGAGGGUCAAAAUCUAUCUACACGACGGUCUCAUUAUAUAAUUCUAGAACUGAGAUGACAUUGUGUACAUACAUGACGUGCAUACAAGAAUUUCCAAUUAAGCAUUAACCAAACAGACUUCUUUUAUUUCUUUACACUUUGAUUAUGGAAGACUUUAUGAUAUGGAUAAAAUCGUAAAAUAAUAAUUACCUUAAUGAGCGCCAAAUCAGCAGCCUUUUUCUGAUUCUGGCUUUCAUCAUCAACUGCAUCAGAAUCUAUCGAGACAAAAUAAGCAAAUGGUGAUCUCGGCUCCACACUGUACUUCUUGCAAUAGGGUAUCCAGUACUUGGCAAACUCAGCAGCUUCCAGAAAAGCAUAGUACGUAAAUUCUGAGCCUCCAUCGUCAGAGAGAUACACGCUGAGCUUCUCCGGCGGAUAGUCAUAAGACAUGACCGAUAGAACAGUGUUCAUCACCAUCAUCGGCGGCUCUAUGAUCGGAUCCGCGGUGCACACGAAUAUGUCCACCCCCGGCAACUCAUUCUCAUAUCUGUUAAGUAACACACGCGAAGUUAAACGAUACGAAGAUCAUCAUUACGAAAGAAGUUAGGUUAGAGCUAGAUUAAGCUAACAGUAUAUAUAACAUGUUAUGUUGUUAAACUAUAGAUACAGAUCAUUCAUAUAUAACAGUGAAUACAGAUACCUUUCAGAGAGUCUGUCCUUGAAGGUAUGCCGGAAGGUGCGGCUCCACCGAAGAGCUUGAGUGAUGACCCAGUAAAAACUGAACCAUAACUCAGCGGCGAACAACAACAUCCAACCAAAUCUUCCAUUUUCUCCAGCUCUUGGUAUAUGAGUCACUCUAUAAGCCCAAAUCAAACAUAUACCAACAGAUACAGACACUGCAGAAAACCUAUAGAAGACUGUUCCCUUUGCCUUCGUUGUCUCAAACAGUGGUAAAUGUCUUUCCUCUCCCAUUUUUGAGCCAACUCUGAUUGCUCAAGCUUUCUUUCUCUAGUGGAGAUGAUUUAAUAUAUAGGGAAGGACCCCGGACCAGGUCUUGCUUUCUAUUAUAAAAACCAAUUAACUUUGAAGCUAAUGCAUGCGUCCCGCGAACGCAACUUUGAUGUAAUGCUACCUUUCACAUCUCUGAUGUGUAUUACAAAACAAACAAGUUACAUGCAUAACUAGCUACUAUGAAAGUAUUGCAGCCAUAUGCACUUGGGUAGUAGUAAGAGUUUGGUGGUCUUUGACCUAUUGCUGAAUAAAAGAUUUCUUUUUUGGUCAGAAAAUAAAAGAUCAUUUACAAGCAGAUGAAACUGUCAUUCCAAUACAAGUUAGCUGAAACUGAAUAUGAUCUUAUCUUACAUUGUGCAUAACUAGUUAAGAAUCGUUCAAUGACAAGUUCGGCCUGAUAUUUUACUUUGUAGUCUGAAUUAUUCCCUCAUCUUUGUCAUAUAUAUUUGAAACAUAAACAAGCAAAUCCAGCAAAUGUCAUCGACUUCAAUGCUACAGAGCUCGGCAGCUUUCCCUUGUCCUUCCUUAGGUAUGGGGCUUCGUACAAGGGUAGGUUAAUGACAAUCAAAACCACACAUAGGAGAAUCUGCAAGCACAUUGUCUCAUAAACUUCUCCAAUACCCUUUUUUCCAGUGAUUGCUACCUUCAAAAACCAAGCAAAGCAGUACAGAUUGAGCAAUGCAAGCGUUGCCAGCACGGUGAACAUUGGAGACGAGCUCCCGAAUUCCAUGAUCUCUUUCUCGUAUCGUUCGGACACGUCUUCAUCGGCAACCUUGGCUGUUAUUACAAAUGCUGAACUGCUGUAUCCGAGGUAGUGUACAAUGGUGUCAAUGAAGGCAAAUAGGUAAGAGGUUGUUCUCUGGUAAAGCCAUAUACGUUGGUCGUUCCACCAACCUAAGCUCGUGCCUCCACACCACCGAUACUCCACAAAGCUCCCAAUGUUCUUAGC